rnacentral:rRNA from 1 species
UAGGGAAUCUUCCGCAAUGGGCGAAAGCCUGACGGAGCAACGCCGCGUGAGUGAUGAAGGUCUUCGGAUCGUAAAACUCUGUUAUUAGGGAAGAACAAAUGUGUAAGUAACUAUGCACGUCUUGACGGUACCUAAUCAGAAAGCAACGGCUAACUACGUGCCAGCAGCCGCGGUAAUACGUAGGUGGCAAGCGUUAUCCGGAAUUAUUGGGCGUAAAGCGCGCGUAGGCGGUUUUUUAAGUCUGAUGUGAAAACCCACGGCUCAACCGUAGAGGGUCAUGGGAAACUGGAAAACUUGAGUGCAGAAGAGGAAAGUGGAAUUCCAUGUGUAGCGGUGAAAUGCGCAGAGAUAUGGAGGAACACCAGUGGCGAAGGCGACUUGCUGGUCUGUAACUGACGCUGAUGUGCGAGAGCGUGGGGAUCAAACAGG